rnacentral:rRNA from 1 species
AUUGAACGCUGGCGGCAGGCCUAACACAUGCAAGUCGAGCGGAUGAAGGGAGCUUGCUCCUGGAUUCAGCGGCGGACGGGCGAGUAAUGCCUAGGAAUCUGCCUGGUAGUGGGGGAUAACGUCCGGAAACGGGCGCUAAUACCGCAUACGUCCUGAGGGAGAAAGUGGGGGAUCUUCGGACCUCACGCUAUCAGAUGAGCCUAGGUCGGAUUAGCUAGUUGGUGGGGUAAAGGCCUACCAAGGCGACGAUCCGUAACUGGUCUGAGAGGAUGAUCAGUCACCCUGGAACUAUGACACGGUCCAGACUCCAACAGGAGGCAGCAGUGGGGAAUAUUGGACCAUGGACGAAAGCCUGAUCCAGGCAGGCCACGUGUGUGAAGAAGGUCUUCGGAUUGUAAAGCACUUUAAGUUGGGAGGAAGGGCAGUAAGUUAAUACCUUGCUGUUUUGACGUUACCAACAGAAUAAGCACCGGCUAACUACGUG